rfam:Listeria monocytogenes EGD-e, complete genome
UAUUAAUGAAAAGAGGUGAGAUGACAUGUUUCUUUUGAAUGCGCGAACUAGUAUAGCUAAAUUUUUGUAUAUUGUCCGUGCAAUUUUUUCCGGUAUUGCAGUUACAUUGGCGAAGUCUGCCCAAAAAACUGUAUAACGAGAAAAAAUGAGAGAAGCAUGGAGUCACGCAAUCGGUUUGUAUAGUGCUAAAUUAGUAUUAUACUUAUAAUUGGCGUCGGGCGCUUGUCUGACGCUUUUUU